GCGGGGGUGGUGAAAACGGCAAACGCACCGGACAACAAUCCGGCGGAGACCUAGUCUCCUUGCAGGUUCGAAUCCUGCUCCCCGCACCG
rnacentral:tRNA from 1 species